rnacentral:rRNA from 1 species
UUGAUCCUGGCUCAGAUCGAACGCUGGCGGCGUGGCUAAAACAUGCAAGUCGUACGGAAAGGUUGUCUUGAUCCUUCGGGUGACGAAACGAUACUCGAGUGGCGAAAGGGCGAGGAAUACAUGGGCAACGUGCCUUAUGCACGAGGAUAACUGCGGGAAGCUGCAGUUAAUACUCGAUAAGACCACAGCAUCUUCGGGUGCAGGGGUCAAACGGUGGGGACCUUCGGGCCUACCGGCAUUUGAGCGACCCAUGUCCUAUCAGCUUGUUGGUGAGGUAACGGCUCACCAAGGCGACGACGGGUACCGGGACUGAGAGGUUGACCCGGCGCAUCGGGACUGAGACACUGCCCGGACUCCUACGGGAGGCUGCAGUAACGAAUAUUCCGCAAUGGGCGAAAGCCUGACGGAGCGACGCCGCGUGUGGGAGGAAGCCCUUCGGGGUGUAAACCACUGUCAGGGAUUACCAAGCAAAGUUGGCGAAUAGCCUUCUGCGUUGAGGAGUCCCAGAGGAAGCCACGGCUAACUUCGUGCCAGCAGCCGCGGUAAUACGAAGGUGGCGAGCGUUGUUCGGAAUCACUGGGCUUAAAGGGCACGCAGGCGGACUGUAAAGCGUCUUGUGAAAGCCCCCGGCUUAACCGGGGAAUUGCUAGGCGAACUGGCAGUCUUGAGGCAGGUAAGGGCGAGUGGAACUCUUGGUGGAGCGGUGGAAUGCGUAGAUAUCAAGAGGAACGCCGGAGGCGAAAGCGACUCGCUGGGCCUGACCUGACGCUGAGGUGCGAAAGCCAGGGUAGCGAACGGGAUUAGAUACCCCGGU